GUCUUUUUGAGUAUAAUUUAAAGUCUAACCUGCCCACUGAAAAUUUAAAUGGCCGCAGUAUUUUGACUGUGCAAAGGUAGCAUAAUCAUUAGUUUCUUAAUUAGAAGCUUGUAUGAAUGGUUGAACGAGAAACUUUCUGUCUCAAUUUAUAAAUUAAAAUUUUAUUUUUAAGUCAAAAAGCUUAAAUAAAUUUAAAAGACGAGAAGACCCUAUAGAGUUUUAUAAAUUAAAUAAUUUUUAUUUUUAGAAUUUAUUUUAUUAUUUAAUUUAUUUUAUUGGGGUGAUAUAUAAAUUUAAUAAACUUUAUAUUAUUUUAAACAUUAAUAUAUGAAUUUUUGAUCCAUUAAUUAUGAUUAAAAGAAAAAAUUACCUUAGGGAUAACAGCGUAAUUUUUUUUUAGAGUUCAAAUCGAAAAAAAAGUUUGCGACCUCGAUGUUGGAUUAAAAUUAAUUUAUGGUGUAGAAGCUAUAAUAUUGGGUCUGUUCGACCUUUGAAAUUUUACAUGAUCUGAGUUCAGACCGGCGUGAGCCAGGUUGGUUUCUAUCUUUAAAAAUUUUAAAUAUUUUAGUACGAAAGGACCAAAUAUUUUUAAUAGUUAAUUUUUAUUGAAUA
rnacentral:rRNA from 1 species